rnacentral:sRNA from 1 species
AUGAAGUUAGAAAUGGCUUUGAAUAUUAUCAAGGGAACAAUAUUCCUGUUUCUAACUGGACUUGGCAUUGUGGGGAAUGUUUUUGUUUUUGUAAACUAUAUGUGCAUUUUCUUUUGGGGGACUGAGAAGAAGUCUUUACACUUUAUUCUUAUCCACUUAGCUUUUACAAGUAUCAUACUUCUAUUUUCCAAAGGAAUGCCCAAGACGAUAGCAGCUUUUGGUUUGAGAAACUUCCUAGAUGAUAUAGGCUGUAAAAUUGUUGCUUAUCUGGAGAGGGUGGCUCGAGACCUUUCCAUCUGCACCAGCAGUCUCCUCACUGUGGUCCAUGCCAUUACCAUCAGUCCCAGAGCCUCCAUGAGGGGGAGGCUCAAGCUGAGGUCUGCAUGGCAAGUCCUUCCCUUGUUUCUCUUUUUUUGGACAUUCAGUUCCUUGAUAACCAUGAACUUACUUCAUUCCAUCACAAAUAGCAACAUGAACAGAUCACAAAUUAGUGAAAAGGAUAACUACUGUUAUUUUCUAGCAGGUAGAUGCGUAAUAAGACGGAUUUUUCUCACACUGAUAGUCUUGCAAGAUGCCCUGUUUCAGGGUCUCAUGGGCUAGGCCAGCACCUACAUAGUAUUUCUUCUCCACCAGCAUCGCAAGCAUGUUCUCCACAUUCAGAACUCCAAAUUCCUGUACAAAACUCCCCCCGAGAUAAGAGCUGCUCAAAGUGUUCUACUUCUGAUGAUCUGUUUUGUUUUCUUUUAUUGGACAGAUUGUAUUAUUUCUUUAUAUUUAACUUUAUCCUUAGAGAAUAAUUUCAUAAUAUCAAAUAUUCAAGAAUGUUUAACUCUUGGUUAUGCAACUCUCAGCCCAUUUGUGCUGAUU